CAGGCCUAACACAUGCAAGUCGAGCGGUAACAUUUCUAGCUUGCUAGAAGAUGACGAGCGGCGGACGGGUGAGUAAUGCUUGGGAAUAUGCCUUAGGGUGGGGGACAACAGUUGGAAACGACUGCUAAUACCGCAUAACGUCUACGGACCAAAGGGGGCUUCGGCUCUCGCCCUUAGAUUAGCCCAAGUGGGAUUAGCUAGUUGGUGAGGUAAUGGCUCACCAAGGCGACGAUCCCUAGCUGGUUUGAGAGGAUGAUCAGCCACACUGGAACUGAGACACGGUCCAGACUCCUACGGGAGGCAGCAGUGGGGAAUAUUGCACAAUGGGCGCAAGCCUGAUGCAGCCAUGCCGCGUGUGUGAGGAAGGCCUUAGGGUUGUAAAGCACUUUCAGUAAGGAGGAAAGGUUAGUAGUUAAUACCUGCUAGCUGUGACGUUACUUACAGAAGAAGCACCGGCUAACUCCGUGCCAGCAGCCGCGGUAAUACGGAGGGUGCGAGCGUUAAUCGGAAUUACUGGGCGUAAAGCGUACGCAGGCGGUUUGUUAAGCGAGAUGUGAAAGCCCCGGGCUCAACCUGGGAACUGCAUUUCGAACUGGCAAACUAGAGUAUGAUAGAGGGUGGUAGAAUUUCAGGUGUAGCGGUGAAAUGCGUAGAGAUCUGAAGGAAUACCGAUGGCGAAGGCAGCCACCUGGGUCAAUACUGACGCUCAUGUACGAAAGCGUGGGGAGCAAACGGGAUUAGAUACCCCGGUAGUCCACGCCGUAAACGAUGUCUACUAGGAGCUGGGGUCUUAGGACAACUUUUCCAAAGCUAACGCAUUAAGUAGACCGCCUGGGGAGUACGGCCGCAAGGUUAAAACUCAAAUGAAUUGACGGGGGCCCGCACAAGCGGUGGAGCAUGUGGUUUAAUUCGAUGCAACGCGAAGAACCUUACCUACACUUGACACACAGAGAACUUACUAGAGAUAGUUUGGUGCCUUCGGGAACUCUGAUACAGGUGCUGCAUGGCUGUCGUCAGCUCGUGUUGUGAGAUGUUGGGUUAAGUCCCGCAACGAGCGCAACCCCUAUCCUUAGCUGCCAGCGAUUCGGUCGGGAACUCUAAGGAGACUGCCGGUGAUAAGCCGGAGGAAGGUGGGGACGACGUCAAGUCAUCAUGGCCCUUACGUGUAGGGCUACACACGUGCUACAAUGGCGCAUACAGAGUGCUGCAAGCUCGCGAGAGUUAGCGAAUCACUUAAAGUGCGUCGUAGUCCGGAUUGGAGUCUGCAACUCGACUCCAUGAAGUCGGAAUCGCUAGUAAUCGCGGAUCAAAAUGCCGCGGUGAAUACGUUCCCGGGCCUUGCACACACCGCCCGU
rnacentral:rRNA from 1 species